rnacentral:lncRNA from 1 species
AAAAUAACAAAAUACACUUUUUGUAUAAAGAGUGGGCCUUUGGCCCAAUCUUUUCAAUUCUCCUCCGCUUUCACAUCCUUCCAUCUUCGAGACCUGUUUGUCGACUUUUAUAGCUGGCUGACUCGAUAAAGAUGGUUUGAGCCUUUAUGACUCUUUCGAAAAUGCAAAAAUAUGGGAGUUCAUGAUAAACUCAGGCAGAUUUCACAUGCAACAAAAAAUAAAGAAGGUAAGGAUUAAUAAACAAUAAAAAAAAAAUACUUAAAACAAAUCAUAGCCGAUAUUUAAUAAAAAUAUAGCAAAUAACCAUAUCGAAUUGAAAUGACAUAGAUCUAGAUAAAAGAUACCCAACUCCCAAGGCAAUGAAGACCUAUCAUACUAAAGAUAAAGUGGUAAUUGUUUAUAUUACUAUUUGAACAUCUAGAAUCCGUAGCAAACAAAUACUAACCAACUUAUUUCAUGAGUAGAUAUGCCAAUAAAGGGUAAUAACCACUGAAG